rnacentral:rRNA from 1 species
AUAGAUUAAGUUAUUAAGGGCGCACGGUGGAUGCCUUGGCACUAGAAGCCGAUGAAGGACGUUACUAACGACGAUAUGCUUUGGGUAGCUGUAAGUAAGCGUUGAUCCAGAGAUUUCCGAAUGGGGGAACCCAGCAUGAGUUAUGUCAUGUUAUCGACAUGUGAAUUCAUAGCAUGUCAGAAGGCAGACCCGGAGAACUGAAACAUCUUAGUACCCGGAGGAAGAGAAAGAAAAA